UACGUAGGGUGCGAGCGUUGUCCGGAAUACUGGGCGUAAAGAGCUCGUAGGUGGUUUGUCGCGUUGUCCGUGAAAACUCACAACUCAAUUGUGGGCGUGCGGGCGAUACGGGCAGACUGGAGUACUGCAGGGGAGACUGGAAUUCCUGGUGUAGCGGUGGAAUGCGCAGAGUAUCAGGAGGAACACCGGUGGCGAAGGCGGGUCUCUGGGCAGUAACUGACGCUGAGG
rnacentral:rRNA from 1 species